rnacentral:lncRNA from 1 species
CAUGUACCCCACAGUCUACCUCUCAUGCCGAAUCUCUUGGAUAAGUAAUCAGACAGGAACCCUCCUGCGGGUCUGGUUAAUAUGUUGGUAAGUCCGAAGGUUGCGGCGACGAUCCCCGCAAUUCGGAGGUUGAGAUUGAAUCUGUCGAAGAAGUACUCGGCGAUCACGUUAUUGACGGUCAGCUCCACACCGAAACAGUAUCCGUAGGUGAAUGCCAAUAUCCAAGCU